GGGAACGUGCCUUCUGGUUCGGAAUAACUCAGGGAAACUUGAGCUAAUACCGGAUACGCCCUUUUGGGGAAAGGUUUACUGCCGGAAGAUCGGCCCGCGUCUGAUUAGCUAGUUGGUGGGGUAACGGCCUACCAAGGCGACGAUCAGUAGCUGGUCUGAGAGGAUGAUCAGCCACACUGGGACUGAGACACGGCCCAGACUCCUACGGGAGGCAGCAGUGGGGAAUAUUGGACAAUGGGCGCAAGCCUGAUCCAGCCAUGCCGCGUGAGUGAUGAAGGCCUUAGGGUUGUAAAGCUCUUUUAUCCGGGACGAUAAUGACGGUACCGGAGGAAUAAGCCCCGGCUAACUUCGUGCCAGCAGCCGCGGUAAUACGAAGGGGGCUAGCGUUGCUCGGAAUCACUGGGCGUAAAGGGCGCGUAGGCGGUCUUUUAAGUCGGGGGUGAAAGCCUGUGGCUCAACCACAGAAUUGCCUUCGAUACUGGGAGACUUGAGUUCGGAAGAGGUUGGUGGAACUGCGAGU
rnacentral:rRNA from 12 species